CCCAUGUUCGAAUGCAUAGUUAACAGUAUUAAAUUCCAAAGAAAAGUAAAACUAGUGGUGUGCUAUCAACUAUUAAGUGUUUUCAUCUUUAUAUAUGGAAAUCCGUUUUACCAGUGCCAUAUUUAUGUGUUUUGGAAGUGAAGCACAUCUAAUGGAUUAUUUCAACUGUAAUGGGCAUUCUCGUGAACAUCUAUGACAGCUUUGAAACCGACAAACUGUUAGCAUUUGCAUUCAAUCAUGCAAAUUUUUCUGUUUCCAUUUUGCUCAUUUAGAGCUUGUGAAAUGUGAAAUGCAAAGGAUAUUUAUGAUUGUGGAGGAGUGUCACCAGCGGUGCAAAUCCUAUGGGUUGGAAUACCAUAAUGUCAUUCUGCCAAGCUUUAUCUAUUCACUGUAUCCCGUCAGUUUUUGAUCUGGCAAGUGUACCGUGUUGCUUAAUGUUGUGUUGCCAGCAAUAACUACCAACAUUCCAGCAGUCUUCUUAUCUUUUCUACAAAGCUUGUCAACACACAAAGACAUGCAACUCUAAACCAUUUACUUUGAACAGCCAAGUACUUAGCCUUCUUCUGCUUAAUCGCUGGCCCUGCAGUCUUUCCAGCAUCAGACAGCAGGCAUAAAUCUAUGCCAUUUCCUUCGUCCGUCAAAUUCAAAAUUGAUCAUCAAGACUCUAAGUUUUGCCCCGUCUCGCCCGUCGCUUCGCCUUCGCCUCGCCUCGCCCGUCGCUUCGCCUUCGCCUCGCC